rnacentral:ncRNA from 2 species
UUUUAUUAAGGAAACUAUGAUCCAUAUAUUUUAUUUUGGGCACUUUAUAUAUGGUGAGUUAGCAGUGCAACCGACCUUUAUGAUU